rnacentral:lncRNA from 1 species
GGCCCAGAGACCAGAGGAGCAACUGCUGGUAACAACUGCACACGCGGGGUGCGGCUGCGCGCGCCUGGGCCGCCUUGCGCCGACAGUCACCCGGUGGUGUUAAGGGGUGGUGUUAAAAGUGACACCCGAGCGCUGCAGGCGCCACUGUCAGCUGUUGCAGGAGAUGACACCCGGGUCUGCAGAGUUGGACAGAGAAACUGAGACUCAACGGCCUAGCCCCUUCUCUGCAGGGGCAGAGCUGCAGCUGAAGCUGAGACCAGCAUCCCUGUACAUUCUGUGCGAAGACUCGCACACAGCUUCCCUCACAACCUGGGGCUGCAGGUAUGAGAUCUGACCCGUGGCCACGUACGAGCUGGGGGCUGGACUCAGGUUCAUUGUAAGGGGCAGCUCCCGUGUGAGCCAGGCAGUCUGUGACUGUGCAUCCGCUCAGGGCAGCCCAGGGCCACAGCAGCAGUGAGGCCUAGGACACCAGGUUUAGGGCGGAGGAGCAGAAGUAAUUCGGAUGAGCAGGGGCAUUCCAUGCAGGUCGCAAAGAGCACGGGUGUGCAAGAAGGCCAUCUAUUUGCAGGACAAUCAGGUAUCUGCUUGACUGGAAGCUUUGGGGCAGGUUCCUAAGAGGGAGAAGAGCCGAAAAGUGGGGAGGGCGGGCUGGGAACAGCGUGGUCCUCGGGCAGGUGGGCAGCAGGAGU